UGCUGCGGAAGGAGGACAUGCAUAUGAGAUACUAUUGUCGACAGUGGCAGAUAUGGAAAAAUAUGCACCAAAUGCCCUGUUGCAUACUGAACUAAAAGAGCUUAAGGAUUCUCUACUAGCUAGUAGGAUGUACCUUAAAACAGAAUUUAAAGCACAUUUAAAGCAGUUUGAUUCUUGUGCUGACCACUGCAUCAGUUUUGCACUCAGUGACCCAGGUGAUGAGUGUCUGCAGCAGAAUUGCCUUGAUCA